rnacentral:rRNA from 1 species
AGGGUAAGUAAAGAAGAGAGUUGUGAGAGUAGUAGGGGUUCUUAAAACUAAAAAAACUUGGCGGUAAAUUAGCCUAUUUAGAGGAAUCUGUGCUGUGAAUGAUAUUCCCCAAAAAUCUUACUUAAAUACAAGCUUGUAUACCGCCGUAUUAAGAAUAACUAGAAGAAAGUUUUUUCAUGAGUGAACAUUUAAAUAAUUCAGGUCAAGGUGCAGUUUGUUUAAGGGUGCUAUGGAUUACAAUAAACGGGUUUAAGAUGGAUAAAGUUAUUGAAAAGUAAGAAGGAAGGUGGAUUUAUAUGUAAAUUUUUAAUAAGAUGGAAAGUUGAAUAAGAAAUUAAUUUAUGU